AUUUGUUUGAUUAUGAAUCAGCAUUAAAAAUACGUACAACUUCAAAUUUUCACUGUUCUACGAUCAACAGUUACUUUGGUUUCGCGAUUUUAAUAUCGGCAAUACAACGUUUGCUGGGUCAGCUAGUUUAAAUAUAAAAAAAAAACAGUUUAAAAUAGGGUUUUCAGUUUUUACUAUAUGACAGAUUCGACCUUCAGAAGCUUACUUAUCUCUACUUUGACUAAAAGUGUGGUUUGAGUCCUUUCUGCUUAACUAUGUCCAUUUCAAAGAGUAUAAUAAUGUAUAAUAAUAUAUAGGGAAUCAUAUUUCAUAAAACAGAUAUGACUAUAUUUUAUUUGUGUUUAUGUAUCGCAGAUGAAAUUAUAAUUUAAUGAUAUUGCAUUGCAAAGCUUUUCUUACCACAUUAUACAGCAUAGAAUUAGCCUUCUUUUCAAUAUUUGUGAUGUGUACAUCCUAUUUCUGGUUUAAUGUAAUGAUUUCUCCGAGAUCUUGUUGGGUUCUUACUGCUUGGCACUGAACUCAUCUAGUAUUGAAUCAUUUGGUUGCUGCUGAUUAUAUGUAAUAGUGACCAUUUUGUUGCAUUUAGUUGUGUGAGCCAGUCCUUUGUGCAUUGAAAAGUGUUGCAAAACACACAUUUUCAGGACGCUAUUUCCAUCUUUUCUUGUUACUUCAAAUGUGCUUUCUGUGAUACUGAUUGUGAUGACUUACAUCCGGAGCCACAUGUUUUACAAUAUCCGACACAGACUACAUACCACUAUUACUAAUCAUAAAAUGGUAUGAGGUAAACAUGGCGUUAUUACAACUUCCAAAGGAGCUCAUUGAACAUAUAUUCAGUUUUCUAUCAUAUGAAGAAGUAGCAAAAAUAAGAGAGGUUUCAAGAGAACUCGAUAAAAUAUGUCAAGGUCUCCUAAACCGUGGGUUUAUACAACUAGAAGAGCGACGUAUUCGUGUUCAAAAUAAAAUUAUUUCACAAGGACCUUCGUCCGACAACGACCUCAAUAAUCAUCCAUUGUUCAUAGAAUAUAUGGUGGUAAUGCUAUGCGGUAUGACAAUAUGUUUUCUCGGAGUGACAUACAACGAGUAUAUAAAGAAGAAUAAGUGCUGCUUUAUACCCGGGAAAUUGCUGGACCUAAUAAGACGUUUUCUUGAUACGGCGGACAGUGAGAAAAUAGACUGUGAUUUACUGAUGAAACUUUCCAAAGAGUUGAAAAAUGACUCUAGAAUAGCUAUGGAUCAUUUCCACAACUCAGUCGUGAUUGACUUUGCUCAUCUUUCUUUAAUUGAUUAGAAAAGUAGUGGUGCUGACUGGAUACGAGGGGCACACUGAAGAAUGAUCGGGAAUGAGAAAAACCACAUGCACGGUUUAGCUAAAUUGUAUUUUAUUGUUUUUCGAAGUAUUCGCCGUUCAACUUAAUGCACUUUUACAUUCGUGAAAACCAAUCAUUAAAACAGUAAUUCCAGUCUGAAGUUGAUGUUGACAAAAUGGCUGAUUUGUACGCUUCCACAGCUGCUUCGGGGUCUUCAAACUAUUGACCGCGUAAUAAAUCUUACGUGUAGCUCAUUAUGUAAUAUCGACCGAAUUGCACUCAUUCCGAUACUGAUAACAGCCUGAAUCUGCUCGUAUGUCACAUGACGAUCAUCUAAUACGCUGUUCUUGGGCGAAUUUAUGGCACGGAAGUGUUCACGCUUGAGCUCCGUUUCUGUUAACGACGCGACGUGUCAAAUUUAAACCAACAUAGUUUUUGUUUUUGAACUUUUUUUUUUAAUUGUAUGAAUGUCAUUAAAAUUCUAUGAGGCCAGUAUCCAAAUUCUAAAAAAGAUUUUAUUGUAACUCGUAUCAUUUCAGUGUGGUUCUCGUAUUGGUCAUCUGCAUUUCGAUUGCGGUGUAAGGGGGCCAUAUAUAUCCGAUUAUGUUGUUUGUUUCACCCAGCAGUUCAAAAUGAUUAUUAAAUUAAGUAUGUCCGCGUCAGGACAUAAUCGAUUUUUCUAGAGUAACUACAUUACUAGUAACUCGGUUCGACAUUGGAAAUUCGAAUUUCGAUUACUAUUACUUCAUCAAGAACAUGUUUACCUUCAAUGUAGACGUAAAAGUUUAGAGGCACUGGUUGUAUCUAAUUUUCUAGAUGUAAGAUGUGUGUAUGUAAAUGUAUGAGUAUGCAAAUAAAGGACCUGGCUUAGGUUGAUGACCUA